rnacentral:rRNA from 1 species
GCUACAGGCUUAACACAUGCAAGUCGAGGGGCAGCAUUUCAGUUUGCUUGCAAACUGGAGAUGGCGACCGGCGCACGGGUGAGUAACACGUAUCCAACCUGCCGAUAACUCGGGGAUAGCCUUUCGAAAGAAAGAUUAAUACCCGAUAGUAUAAUUAGACCGCAUGGUCUUAUUAUUAAAGAAUUUCGGUUAUCGAUGGGGAUGCGUUCCAUUAGGCAGUUGGUGAGGUAACGGCUCACCAAACCUUCGAUGGAUAGGGGUUCUGAGAGGAAGGUCCCCCACAUUGGAACUGAGACACGGUCCAAACUCCUACGGGAGGCAGCAGUGAGGAAUAUUGGUCAAUGGGCGCAGGCCUGAACCAGCCAAGUAGCGUGAAGGAUGACUGCCCUAUGGGUUGUAAACUUCUUUUAUAUGGGAAUAAAGUUUUCCACGUGUGGAAUUUUGUAUGUACCAUAUGAAUAAGGAUCGGCUAACUCCGUGCCAGCAGCCGCGGUAAUACGGAGGAUCCGAGCGUUAUCCGGAUUUAUUGGGUUUAAAGGGAGCGUAGGUGGACAGUUAAGUCAGUUGUGAAAGUUUGCGGCUCAACCGUAAAAUUGCAGUUGAUACUGGCUGUCUUGAGUACAGUAGAGGUGGGCGGAAUUCGUGGUGUAGCGGUGAAAUGCUUAGAUAUCACGAAGAACUCCGAUUGCGAAGGCAGCUCACUGGACUGCAACUGACACUGAUGCUCGAAAGUGUGGGUAUCAAACAGGAUUAGAUACCCUGGUAGUCCACACAGUAAACGAUGAAUACUCGCUGUUUGCGAUA